UACGGGAGGCAGCAGUGGGGAAUAUUGCACAAUGGGCGCAAGCCUGAUGCAGCCAUGCCGCGUGUAUGAAGAAGGCCUUCGGGUUGUAAAGUACUUUCAGUCGUGAGGAAGGUGUUAAGGUUAAUAACCUUAGCAAUUGACGUUAGCGACAGAAGAAGCACCGGCUAACUCCGUGCCAGCAGCCGCGGUAAUACGGAGGGUGCGAGCGUUAAUCGGAAUUACUGGGCGUAAAGGGCACGCAGGCGGUUAAUUAAGUUGGAUGUGAAAUCCCCGGGCUUAACCUGGGAAUGGCAUUCAAGACUGGUUAGCUAGAGUCUUGUAGAGGGGGUAGGAAUUCCAUGUGUAGCGGUGAAAUGCGUAGAGAUGUGGAGGAAUACCGGUGGCGAAGGCGGCCCCUGGACAAAGACUGACGCUCAUGUGCGAAAGCGUGGGGAGGCAAACAGGAUUAGAUACC
rnacentral:rRNA from 1 species